rnacentral:rRNA from 1 species
UACGUAGGGCGCAAGCGUUGUCCGGAUUUAUUGGGCGUAAAGAGCGCGCAGGCGGUCGGAUAAGUCGAAUGUGAAAGCCCCCGGCUCAACUGGGGAGGGUCAUUCGAUACUGUUCGACUCGAAGGCAGGAGAGGGAAGUGGAAUUCCCGGUGUAGUGGUGAAAUGCGUAGAUAUCGGGAGGAACACCAGUGGCGAAGGCGACUUCCUGGCCUGUUCUGACGCUGAGGCGCGAAAGCGUGGGUAGCAAACAGG